UGGCGGCAUGGCUAAAACAUGCAAGUCGAACGCGAACGGGGCUUCGGCCCUUAGUAGAGUGGCGAAAGGGCGAGUAAUGCAUACUUUACGUACCUCCAGGUGCGGGAUAGCUCGGGGAAACCCGUGGUAAUACCGCAUAAUCCGGGAAAGCAUCAAAGGCUUGCCGCCUUGGGAGCGGGGAACGUCCUAUCAGGUUGUUGGUGAGGUAAUGGCUCACCAAGCCAUAGACGGGUAGCGGGUGUGAGAGCAUGACCCGCCGCAUCGGGACUGAGACACUGCCCGGACUCCUACGGGAGGCUGCAGUAACGAAUCUUCCGCAAUGCGCGAAAGCGUGACGGAGCAAUGCCGCGUGCAGGAUGAAGCAUUUCGGUGUGUAAACUUCUGUCAGGGUCUAGGAACAAUGACCAGACUCAAAGGAAGGGCCGGCUAACUUCGUGCCAGCAGCCGCGGUAAUACGAAGGGCCGGACCGUUAAUCGGAAUCAUUGGGCUUAAAGGGUGCGCCGGCGGACCCGCAAGUAUCUUGUGAAAUCCCACGGCUUAACCGUGGAAUUGCUUGGUAAACCGCGUGUCUUGAGCACGACAGGGGCGGUCGGAACGAUAGGUGGAGCGGUGAUAUGCUUAGAUAUCUAUCGGAACGCCAAAGGAGAAGACAGGCCACUGGGCCUGUGUUGACGCUCAGGCACGAAAGCGUGGGUAGCGAACGGGAUUAGAUACCCCGGUAGUCCACGCCCUAAACGAUGUGUACUAGAUCGAGGAGGUUUUGACGCCAUCUCGGUCGUAGCAAAAGUAUUAAGUACACCGCCUGGGGAGUACGGUCGCAAGGCUAAAACUCAAAGGAAUUGACGGGGGCUCACACAAGCGGUGGAGCAUGUGGCUUAAUUCGAAGCAACGCGAAGAACCUUAUCCAGGGCUUGACAUGUAUGGAUUAUUGAUCCGAAAGGGGGUUCGACGCUCUCCUGAGUGGAACAUACACAGGUGCUGCAUGGCUGUCGUCAGCUCGUUCUGUGAAGUGUCGGGUUAAGUCCCUUAACGAGCGAAACCCCUCUCACUAGUUGCCAUCAGGUUAUGAUGGCAACUAGUGAGACUGCCGGCGUCAAGCCGGAGGAAGGUGGGGAUGACGUCAAGUCCUCAUGGCCUUUAUGCCCUGGGCUGCACACGUGCUACAAUGGUAUCGACAGAGCGAAGCAAGACCGCGAGGUGGAGCAAAUCGCACAAACGAUGCCUCAGUUCGGAUUGUAGUCUGCAACUCGACUACAUGAAGUUGGAAUCGCUAGUAAUCGCGUAUCAGCAACGACGCGGUGAAUAAGUUCCUGAGCCUUGUACACACCGCCCGUCACGUCAUGGGAGCCGGGAGCACCCGAAGUAGCCACAACUCAGUGGUUCCUACGGUGAGCUCGGUGACGGACGAAGUCGU
rnacentral:rRNA from 1 species